rnacentral:rRNA from 1 species
UACGUAGGUGGCAAGCGUUAUCCGGAAUUAUUGGGCGUAAAGCGCGCGCAGGUGGUUCUUUAAGUCUGAUGUGAAAGCCCCCGGCUCAACCGGGGAGGGUCAUUGGAAACUGGGGAACUUGAGUAUAGAAGAGGAAAGUGGAAUUCCACGUGUAGCGGUGAAAUGCGUAGAGAUGUGGAGGAACACCAGUGGCGAAGGCGACUUUCUGGUCUAUAACUGACACUGAGGCGCGACAGCGUGGGGAGCAAACAGG